GGCGCCCUGGUGGAAUUGGUAGACACGCUGGACUCAAAAUCCUGUGAGAGCAAUCUCGUGACGGUUCAAGUCCGUCGGGCGCCACCA
rnacentral:tRNA from 1 species